rnacentral:rRNA from 1 species
GAUGAACGCUGGCGGCGUGCCUAAUACAUGCAAGUCGAACGAGUUCUGAUUAUUGAAAGGUGCUUGCAUCUUGAUUUAAUUUUGAACGAGUGGCGGACGGGUGAGUAACACGUGGGUAACCUGCCCUUAAGUGGGGGAUAACAUUUGGAAACAGAUGCUAAUACCGCAUAAAUCCAAGAACCGCAUGGUUCUUGGCUGAAAGAUGGCGUAAGCUAUCGCUUUUGGAUGGACCCGCGGCGUAUUAGCUAGUUGGUGAGGUAACGGCUCACCAAGGCAAUGAUACGUAGCCGAACUGAGAGGUUGAUCGGCCACAUUGGGACUGAGACACGGCCCAAACUCCUACGGGAGGCGGCAGUAGGGAAUCUUCCACAAUGGACGCAAGUCUGAUGGAGCAACGCCGCGUGAGUGAAGAAGGCUUUCGGGUCGUAAAACUCUGUUGUUGGAGAAGAAUGGUCGGCAGAGUAACUGUUGUCGGCGUGACGGUAUCCAACCAGAAAGCCACGGCUAACUACGUGCCAGCAGCCGCGGUAAUACGUAGGUGGCAAGCGUUAUCCGGAUUUAUUGGGCGUAAAGCGAGCGCAGGCGGUUUUUUAAGUCUGAUGUGAAAGCCCUCGGCUUAACCGAGGAAGUGCAUCGGAAACUGGGAAACUUGAGUGCAGAAGAGGACAGUGGAACUCCAUGUGUAGCGGUGAAAUGCGUAGAUAUAUGGAAGAACACCAGUGGCGAAGGCGGCUGUCUGGUCUGUAACUGACGCUGAGGCUCGAAAGCAUGGGUAGCGAACAGGAUUAGAUACCCUGGUAGUCCAUGCCGUAAACGAUGAAUGCUAGGUGUUGGAGGGUUUCCGCCCUUCAGUGCCGCAGCUAACGCAUUAAGCAUUCCGCCUGGGGAGUACGACCGCAAGGUUGAAACUCAAAGGAAUUGACGGGGGCCCGCACAAGCGGUGGAGCAUGUGGUUUAAUUCGAAGCAACGCGAAGAACCUUACCAGGUCUUGACAUCUUUUGAUCACCUGAGAGAUCAGGUUUCCCCUUCGGGGGCAAAAUGACAGGUGGUGCAUGGUUGUCGUCAGCUCGUGUCGUGAGAUGUUGGGUUAAGUCCCGCAACGAGCGCAACCCUUAUGACUAGUUGCCAGCAUUUAGUUGGGCACUCUAGUAAGACUGCCGGUGACAAACCGGAGGAAGGUGGGGAUGACGUCAAAUCAUCAUGCCCCUUAUGACCUGGGCUACACACGUGCUACAAUGGAUGGUACAACGAGUUGCGAGACCGCGAGGUCAAGCUAAUCUCUUAAAGCCAUUCUCAGUUCGGACUGUAGGCUGCAACUCGCCUACACGAAGUCGGAAUCGCUAGUAAUCGCGGAUCAGCACGCCGCGGUGAAUACGUUCCCGGGCCU